rnacentral:rRNA from 1 species
CCUACGGGAGGCAGCAGUGAGGAAUAUUGGUCAAUGGGCGGAAGCCUGAACCAGCCAAGUCGCGUGAGGGAAUAAGGCCCUACGGGUCGUAAACCUCUUUUGCCGGGGAGCAAGGGCGGGGACGUGUCCCGGCCCGGAGAGUACCCGGAGAAAAAGCAUCGGCUACCCCCGUGCCAGAAGCCGCGGUAAUGCGGGGGAUGCGAGCGUUAUCCGGAUUUAUUGGGUUUAAGGGGUGCGUAGGCGGGCGUUUAAUUCGGCGGUAAAAAUUCGGGGCUCAACCCGGUCCGGCCGUUGAAACUGGGGGCCUUGAGUGGGCGAGAGGAAGGCGGAAUGCGUGGUGUAGCGGUGAAAUGCAUAGAGAUCACGCAGAACCCCGAUUGCGAAGGCAGCCUUCCGGCGCCCUACUGACGCUGAGGCACGAAAGUGCGGGGAUCGAACAGGAUUAGAUACCCUUGUAGUC